rnacentral:rRNA from 1 species
AGCGAACGCUGGCGGCGUGCCUAACACAUGCAAGUCGGACGUGAAAAGGGAAACCUGAGUAAAGUGGCGUACGGGUGAGUAACGCGUAGGUAAUCUACCCCAGAAUCUGGAAUAACCUGCCGAAAGGCGGGCUAAUACUGGAUAGAGCGAGGGAACUCGUAAGAGAGUUUUUCGGGAAAGGGAGCCCGCAAGGGCCUUCGUUCUGGGAUGAGCCUGCGUCUCAUUAGCUAGUUGGUAAGGUAACGGCUUACCAAGGCGAUGAUGAGUAGCUGGUCUGAGAGGAUGAUCAGCCACACUGGAACUGAAACACGGUCCAGACUCCUACGGGAGGCAGCAGUGGGGAAUCUUGCGCAAUGGACGAAAGUCUGACGCAGCCACGCCGCGUGAGUGAAGAAGGCCUUCGGGUUGUAAAGCUCUGUCGGAUGGGACGAACAUCUUCAUAGUGAAUAGCUAUGAGGACUGACGGUACCAUCAAAGGAAGCACCGGCUAACUCCGUG